rnacentral:rRNA from 1 species
GCCGGAGGGGGCAAGCGUUAUCCGGAAUUAUUGGGCGUAAAGCGUCCGCAGGUGGCGAUUCAAGUCUGCUGUCAAAGGUCGGGGCUUAACCCCGGGAAGGCCGUGGAAACUGAAUAGCUAGAGCGCGGUAGGGGCAGAGGGAAUUCCCGGUGUAGCGGUGAAAUGCGUAGAGAUCGGGAAGAACACCAGUGGCGAAAGCGCUCUGCUGGGCCGGCACUGACACUGAGGGACGAAAGCUAGGGGAGCGAAAGUG